rnacentral:rRNA from 1 species
CCUACGGGCGGCAGCAGUGGGGAAUAUUGCACAAUGGGGGAAACCCUGAUGCAGCGACGCCGCGUGAGUGAAGAAGUAUCUCGGUACGUAAAGCUCUAUCAGCAGGAAAGAAAAUGACGGUACCUGACUAAGAAGCCCCGGCUAACUACGUGCCAGCAGCCGCGGUAAUACGUAGGGGGCAAGCGUUAUCCGGAUUUACUGGGUGUAAAGGGAGCGUAGACGGCGCUGCAAGUCCGGAGUGAAAGCCUAUGGCUUAACCAUGGUACUGCUCUGGAAACUGUAGCGCUUGAGUGCGGGAGGGGCAGGCGGAAUUCCUAGUGUAGCGGUGAAAUGCGUAGAUAUUAGGAGGAACACCGGCGGCGAAGGCGGCCUGCUGGACCGUAACUGACGUUGAGGCUCGAAAGCGUGGGGAGCAAACAGGAUUAGAUACCCCGGUAGUC